UGAGUACGAGAUGCUACGGCAUCGAAGCAGUCUAUGUCAUACUUCCAAGAAAAGCUUGCAAUGUCAUAAACAAAUAAUGCCUGUACCAUAACCGACACAGGUGGGUAGGUAGAGUAUACUAAGGGGCGCGAGAUAACUCUCUCUAAGGAACUCGGCAAAAUGACUCCGUAACUUCGGGAGAAGGAGUGCCUUAUUUUUAUAAGGUUGCAAUAACAAGAUCCAAGCAACUGUUUACCAAAAACACAGGUCUCCGCUAAGUCGUAAGACGAUGUAUGGGGGCUGACGCCUGCCCAGUGCCAGAAGGUUAAAGAAGUUGGUUAGCAUUAGCGAAGCUGAUAACUGAAGCCCUGGUGAACGGCGGCCGUAACGAUAACGGUCCUAAGGUAGCGAAAUUCCUUGUCGGGUAAGUUCCGACCCGCACGAAAGGCGUAAUGAUUUGGAUACUGUCUCGGAGAGGGGCUCGGUGAAAUAGACUUGUCUGUGAAGAUGCGGACUACCUGCACCUGGACAGAAAGACCCUAUGAAGCUUUACUGUAACUUGAGAUUGAAAUUGGACUUUAUCUGCGCAGUAUAGUGGGAGACGUUGAAAAUAUUCUUGCGGGAAUAUUGGAGUCAUCAGUGAGAUACCACUCUUAUAAUGUUAGAUUUCUAACUUUGUAUCAUUAUCUGGUCAAAGAACAGUUUCAGGCGGGCAGUUUGACUGGGGCGGUCGCCUCCCAAACGGUAACGGAGGCGCACAAAGGUUUCCUCUGAACGUGUAGAAAUCGUAUCUAGAGUGUAAAGGCAUAAGGAAGCUUGACUGUGAGACCUACAAGUCGAGCAGGGACGAAAGUCGGUCUUAGUGAUCUGACGGUGCUGAGUGGAAAGGCCGUCACUCAACGGAUAAAAGUUACUCUAGGAUAACAGGCUGAUCUCCCCCAAGAGUUCACAUCGACGGGGAGGUUUGGCACCUCGAUGUCGGCUCAUCGCAUCCUGGGGCGGUAGUACGUCCCAAGGGUUGGGCUGUUCGCCCAUGAAAGCGGUACGCGAGCUGGGUUCAGAACGUCGUGAGACAGUUCGGUCCAUAUCCGGUGUAGGCGUUAGAAUAUUGAGAGGAGCCUUCUUUAGUACGAGAGGACCGAGAAGGACAUACCUCUGGUGUACCAGUUAUCGUGCCAACGGUAAACGCUGGGUAGCCAUGUAUGGAGAGGAUAACCGCUGAAAGCAUCUAAGUGGGAAGCCCACCUCAAGAUAAG
rnacentral:rRNA from 1 species